AUUGAACGCUGGCGGCAUGCCUUACACGUGCAAGUCGAACGGUAACAGGUCUUCGGAUGCUGACGAGUGGCGAACGGGUGAGUAAUACAUCGGAACGUGCCCGAGAGUGGGGGAUAACGAGGCGAAAGCUUUGCUAAUACCGCAUACGAUCUCAGGAUGAAAGCAGGAGACCGCAAGGCCUUGCGCUCACGGAGCGGCCGAUGGCAGAUUAGGUAGUUGGUGGGAUAAAAGCUUACCAAGCCGACGAUCUGUAGCUGGUCUGAGAGGACGACCAGCCACACUGGGACUGAGACACGGCCCAGACUCCUACGGGAGGCAGCAGGGGGGAAUUUUGGACAAUGGGCGCAAGCCUGAUCCAGCCAUGCCGCGUGCAGGAUGAAGGCCUUCGGGUUGUAAACUGCUUUUGUACGGAACGAAAAGACUCUGGUUAAUACCUGGGGUCCAUGACGGUACCGUAAGAAUAAGCACCGGCUAACUACGUGCCAGCAGCCGCAGUAAAAC
rnacentral:rRNA from 1 species